rnacentral:misc_RNA from 1 species
UCAUUGCAAACCCUCAAGCACCGCUUGGUCUUGGGCGCCGGUCCUCGCGGACCCGCCCGUAACCCGUCGGCGGCACCGCCCGGCUCCAAGCGUAGCAAGAAUCUUUUCACUCGCUUUGGAGCUCGCGGCGGCGCCUGCCGGGAAAGAAAAUGUACCCGUAGUUUGACCUCGGAUCAGGUAGGGAUACCCGCUGAACUUAA